rnacentral:snoRNA from 1 species
GGUCUAUAAUGAUGAUGCUAUCCCGAACCUGAAUUCCUGUUGAAAAAAAACUACGGAUCUGGCUUCUGAGAU